UAGAAAACAUCCAAGGAACAGCAGAGAUUGAAGGGAGCAAAGGAGCUGAAGGUCAACAUAAAACAAGGAAGAAACAAAUAGGAAAGCCAGUACCAGAGCUCAGGAAAUCCAUUAGGCAGACUAAGAAACCUGAAUGGCAGAGAGAUUACCAUCUAUAUCAACUUACCAACAGACCAGUCGAUAGCAGACUCAAGCUUUGGAUAAGUUGAUUAACUCUGGAAUUUUAGAUACAUUAAAUUCAGACAUUACACAUAGGAUUUUAGAGGCUGUGAUGAAAUAAAGAUAACAUGGAAUAUAAAGAAUAAGACGAAAGACAGUUUUUAAAGUUUUAAUAUGUAAAUAUUACCUGAAAGAGAAGUCAUUCAUAUACAUGUACUUCAAGAAUGAAGUUAAAUGUCCUUAUCAAGUGAAAUUUGAUAUCAACUACAGAUGAAUUCUGUGUUUAACUUGAAAUGGAACAUGAUAGUAUAUGUAUGAAGCAUGAUUUAUAGAAUGAAACAAACAUCAUCUUUUGAAUUAAGUGUGAAAAAUAUGAGGUAUAUUACUUCAUAUACAAUAACUUGGUGAGCUGACAAGGAAGAAGCUAAUGAAACUUAGGUGAGCUUCAUUAACUACUUGAUAGCUAAAAUAUCUGUGUUAUUAUAGUGUAAUAUUUUUAUCAUAUUUUCAGGUAACUAUAUGCUUGUUUUUAUUACAAAUUGCGAGGACGCAAUUUUCAGAGAGGGCGACAACAGUUAUUUAUUGAGUAAUUUUUUUGUUGUAUAUAGAAAUUAAUUUCAGUUGCAGAAAAUGGACCUGAAGUGGAAAUAUUUUUGUUUGUUUUGGGUUGUGACAUACAAACUAAGAUAUUGAUAAGUUAUACUUAGUUUAUACUUAGUAUAAUAAUCUAAUUAGAAUUAGAUUAUGAACUUUAGUUUAUUUAAGUAUUAAUACCUAAAGUAUUAAUGAUGAACUUUUUGCAGAUGUUAGAUAAAUGACGGGACGUCAUUUUCCGGACCGGGGGAGUGUGUAACCGGGUUGAAUUUAUUACAUUUAUAUUUAUUAACUCUCGGUUAAUACUUAAUCAUGUUCCUUUCCGAUUAAUCCCUGUUUGUCGUCUUUCUACUUUUACUUUCGGUUUUGUAGUUAUUUUUAGUUCCCGCGCUUUGGUCAUGUGAUUAGUCAUGUGGUAGUUUUAUACCUGUUGUACGUCAUUCUUUCGCUAUAACUGACAGAGGUCAGACAUGUUUUAUAGAGAGAAGUGAAACGUUUGUCUUGAGUUUUUUAAACUCGGCUAGCAGUGUGAGGUGUAGCAUUUUAUCCUUUUGUAAAGUAGAUACAUUAACCGGAGCACAGACAGAGAGACGUGGUGUGUGUCAUGUAUUGUUACAGAAAGGGUUUGAUCCCAUCAGAUCAACCUGAAAGGUUUUGGUAUCUGUCCAUAAGAAGGAAUAGUAUUUGGAAGAGUGCUGGUAUUAACUGUUAUCAACUGGUAUUAAAUACAAUAAAGUAUAAAAGAUCGAACAAGUCUUCUUGGAUGUGUUUGGCCAUAGUAGAUAGUCGCAGAUCCCAAGAUUACAUAUGCACUGUGAAUCAUCUUAUGCUUCUAUGCUGAUGAUUAUUUGACCAAAUGUUAAGGCUUUAGUGUAAUAUGCAAGAGAAAAAUACUCGGCCUGAAAAUAUGAACUGAUAUUGAGUUGUGCCUGUGGCGAUGCCUUAAUGUUAGCAAGCUUACUUUCAUGUUUCAUGUUCACUGUAUUAAUCGGCGAUUUUAUGACCAUUUUGUGUCGAUCCGCCGUAUGACCUAACUCACUCACUUGCUGUAAUAAGGUAAAGUGUUUCCUGUAUUUUUUUAGGGAUAAAAUGAUAAAGGUAAGGAAAAUGACACCGCAGCAUUAUGAAACGAUUAUUUUACCACUGCAUUGUUCUACUAAGUCCUUGUGAUAAAGCAAUUCGAUUGAUACCAAUCAAUUUAAAAAGCAGACAUAGGGUAAAACAUUAUGCGGAAUAUUCCAUUAAGACGUCGCAAUAUAUAUUUUAUAAUAUAGCUAGCUUCAGUUAAACACAACUGUAGCAUAAAACAUGUGAAAAGAUCCUUUGGAAGCGUAGAACGCAAUCAAUCAAAAUAACAAACUCGAUUUGACUGAGUUUGUUCAUUAGAGGUAAUGAAAUGUGCAUUACCUCUCAAGUACUCUAGCACCAGCCUAAGCGGAAUUCUAUUAUAGUAAAAAUGAUUGUACUCUAGGAUCCAAGAUGACUAGAAAAUAUAACAACAUUAAGUUUAAGUACGGGGAAACAUUCGGCACUUCAAGACUGCCGUUUUGAUAGUUCAUAAAAUCGGUGAAAAAAUAACAACAUCUAAGACGUUGCAUCCUCUUCCCACGACGGAGGUAUCAGGUAACUGCGUAAUACAUUUCAAUUUAUCAAUCUGAAUCUCUCAUAUCUUUCAUUCAGAUUGUGUAGUUAUCAUUAUUAUUAUAUCAUUAUCAUUUUCUAUGAAUCAGAUAUCUAAAUAUAUCUAAAUAUAUAAACUGGCGCAAUUCCAUAUAUAUUUGUUAGUCUAUUGGACACAUCACAAAGAAGUCGCUCUACUUUACGUAAUUUCAGACAGUUGAAGAAUAAUUCAUUGAAAACAUUUUCUUCCGCUGAUUGUGAUGUUAUAGCUUUUAGAAAAUGAAAUUGGGGGAGGGGUGGGGGAGUAUUUCAAUACGUAAGCACAGCUGCAUUAAAAUUCUUGACACAAUGGCUGUAAGUGAAUAAGUGUUUCUUAAG